GACAGAGGGUGCAAACGUUGUUCGGAAUUACUGGGCGUAAAGCGCGUGUAGGCGGUUCGGAAAGUCGGGUGUGAAAGCCCUGGGCUCAACCCAGGAAGUGCACUCGAAACUCCCGAGCUGGAGUCCUGGAGAGGAAGGCGGAAUUCUCGGUGUAGAGGUGAAAUUCGUAGAUAUCGAGAGGAACAUCGGUGGCGAAGGCGGCCUUCUGGACAGCGACUGACGCUGAGACGCGAAAGCAUGGGGAGCAAACAGG
rnacentral:rRNA from 1 species